rnacentral:rRNA from 1 species
GGUUUGAUUCUGGCUCAGAUUGAACGCUGGCGGGAUGCUUUACACAUGCAAGUCGAACGGCAGCACGGACUUCGGUCUGGUGGCGAGUGGCGAACGGGUGAGUACGUCGAACGUGCCUAGUAGCGGGGGAUAACUACGCGAAAGCGUAGCUACCACUGCGGCCACAGCCCUUCGGGGAAAAGCGACCUUCGUGGGCCUCGCACUAUUAGAGCGGCCGAUAUCGGAUUAGCUAGUUGGUGGGCAACGUCACCGGGCGACGAUCCGUAGCUGGUUUGAGAGGACGACCAGCCACACUGGGACCGGAGACACGGCCCAGACUCCACGGGAGGCAGCAGUGGGAAUUUUGGACAAUGGGGGAAAUCUGAUCCAGCCAUCCCGCGUGUGCGAUGAAGGCCUUCGCUAAAAAAGCACUUUUGGCAGGAAAGAAACGGCACGGAUAAUACCCCGUGCAACUGACGGUACUUCCGCAGAAUAAGCACCGGCUAACUACGUGCCAGCAGCCGCGGUAAUACGUAGGGUGCAAGCGUUAACGGAAUUACUGGGCGUAAAGCGUGCGCAGGCGGUUCGAAAGAAAGAUGUGAAAUCCCAGAGCUUAACUUUGGAACUGCAUUUUUAACUACCGAGCUAGAGUGUGUCAGAGGGAGGGAAUUCCGGCAGUGAAAUGCGUGGAUAUGCGGAGGAACACCGAUGGCGAAGGCAGCCUCCUGGGAUAACACUGACGCUCAUGCACGAAAGUGGGAGCAAACAGGAUUAGAUACCCUGGUAGUCCACGCCCUAAAACGAUGUCAACUAGCUGUUGGGCCUUCGGGCCUUGUAGCGCAGCUAACGCAGGAAGUUGACCGCCUGGGGAGUACGGUCGCAAGAUUAAAACUCAAAGGAAUUGACGGGGACGGCACAAGCGGUGGAUGAUGUGAUUAAUUCUGAUGCAACGCGAAAAACUCACUCUACCUCUUUACAUGUCUGGAAUCGAAGAGAUUUGGGAGUGCUCGCAAGAGAACCGAACAGGUGCUGCAUGGCUGUCGUCAGCUCGUGUCGUGAGAUGUUGGGUUAAGUCCCGCAACGAGCGCAACCCUUGUCACUAGUUGCUACGAAAGGGCACUCUAACAGACUGGCCGGUGACAAAACCGGAGGAAGGUGGGGAUGACGUCAAGUCCUCAUGGCCCUUAUGGGUAGGGCUUCACACGUCAUACAAUGGUCGGGACAGAGGUCGCCAACCCGCGAGGGGGAGCCAAUCCCAGAAACCUGAUCGUAGUCCGAUCGCAGUCUGCAACUCGACUGCGUGAAGUCGGAAUCGCUAGUAAUCGCGGAUCAGCAUGUCGCGGUGAAUACGUUCCCGGGUCUUGUACACACCGCCCGUCACACCAUGGGAGUGGGUUUUACCAGAAGUAGUUAGCCUAACCGUAAGGAAGGGCGAUGACCAUUGCAGGAUUCAUGACUGGGUAAGCCAACAAGGUAA